UAAGCGUUGUAAUAAGAGGGUGUCUUCCACACUCGAAUUUGUGUUAAAUAGUCAUCCAUCAAUUAUUUACUACAUAGAUUUAUCUACUUCAAUUAUUCAAAUGGCAAACUAUGCAAUUAACCAUGACAAAAAUAUUUACUUUUUCAUCAUUUACCAGGUUUGUGUGGAAGAAAACCUCCCAAACUUGUAAACUCAGAUAUCACUUGACUUUCAAAGUUCACACAUACCUAGUAAUAAUUUUUUCCACAAGUCAUUCCAAUAGUUCACAUUUUUGCAAAUAUGAAUGUGGUCAUCAUUGUGAUCCUGUCACUGGCUUCCUACACUUCAUCCACUGAACAAAAACCUGAAACUUAUCCAGAUAUAACACCUUUACCUCCAGAAACAUUCGAAUAUUUAUUCAAUAAUCGAUAUCCAAAUUUCAUGAUUUUGGACGCAUCCAGAUUUUGGGACACAGCUACUCAAUUCAAAAACUUUGGUUUUAUUCGAGAUGUAAUUCAUGACAAAUCUACCGAUCCAGAGACCAAGAAAUAUGCUCAAUCUAUAAUGACCGAAGCAAGGAAUAGAUUGAAAAACUCGAUGAAAAAGUAUGAAUUAGAAUGGGAUGAUAAAUACGAUAUGUUUGAUUUUAUCAGAGAAUGGAAAAA